GACGAACGCUGGCGGCGUGCUUAACACAUGCAAGUCGAACGGAAAGGCCCUGCUUUUGUGGGGUGCUCGAGUGGCGAGCGGGUGAGUAACACGUGAGUAACCUGCCCUUGACUUUGGGAUAACUUCAGGAAACUGGGGCUAAUACCGGAUAGGAGCUCCUGCUGCAUGGUGGGGGUUGGAAAGUUUCGGCGGUUGGGGAUGGACUCGCGGCUUAUCAGCUUGUUGGUGGGGUAGUGGCUUACCAAGGCUUUGACGGGUAGCCGGCCUGAGAGGGUGACCGGCCACAUUGGGACUGAGAUACGGCCCAGACUCCUACGGGAGGCAGCAGUGGGGAAUAUUGCACAAUGGGCGGAAGCCUGAUGCAGCAACGCCGCGUGCGGGAUGACGGCCUUCGGGUUGUAAACCGCUUUCGCCUGUGACGAAGCGUGAGUGACGGUAAUGGGUAAAGAAGCACCGGCUAACUACGUGCCAGCAGCCGCGGUGAUACGUAGGGUGCGAGCGUUGUCCGGAUUUAUUGGGCGUAAAGGGCUCGUAGGUGGUUGAUCGCGUCGGAAGUGUAAUCUUGGGGCUUAACCCUGAGCGUGCUUUCGAUACGGGUUGACUUGAGGAAGGUAGGGGAGAAUGGAAUUCCUGGUGGAGCGGUGGAAUGCGCAGAUAUCAGGAGGAACACCAGUGGCGAAGGCGGUUCUCUGGGCCUUUCCUGACGCUGAGGAGCGAAAGCGUGGGGAGCGAACAGGCUUAGAUACCCUGGUAGUCCACGCUGUAAACGGUGGGUACUAGGUGUGGGGUCCAUUCCACGGGUUCCGUGCCGUAGCUAACGCUUUAAGUACCCCGCCUGGGGAGUACGGCCGCAAGGCUAAAACUCAAAGGAAUUGACGGGGCCCCGCACAAGCGGCGGAGCAUGCGGAUUAAUUCGAUGCAACGCGUAGAACCUUACCUGGGUUUGACAUGGAUCGGGAGCGCUCAGAGAUGGGUGUGCCUCUUUUGGGGUCGGUUCACAGGUGGUGCAUGGCUGUCGUCAGCUCGUGUCGUGAGAUGUUGGGUUAAGUCCCGCAACGAGCGCAACCCUUGUUCACUGUUGCCAGCACGUUAUGGUGGGGACUCAGUGGAGACCGCCGGGGUCAACUCGGAGGAAGGUGGGGAUGACGUCAAGUCAUCAGGCCCCUUAUGUCCAGGGCUUCACGCAUGCUACAAUGGCUGGUACAGAGAGUGGCGAGCCUGUGAGGGUGAGCGAAUCUCGGAAAGCCGGUCUCAGUUCGGAUUGGGGUCUGCAACUCGACCUCAUGAAGUCGGAGUCGCUAGUAAUCGCAGAUCAGCAACGCUGCGGUGAAUACGUUCCCGGG
rnacentral:rRNA from 1 species